UUGGUGUAACUGGGAGCUCGGACCUCAAAGGGCUUGUGGGAGGCUGAGGGGCAAAUAAAUGACUGGGACUCUUUCCUUUCUGCCUCAAAGGACUUGCGGAAGGCUGCUGGGUGAAUACAAGAUAAUUGUGGGACUCUUUAUUUCACAUUUCUACCAAAAAUGACAACAGAGGCAGAAAAUACAUUCGUUGCAUUACUGCAGGAACUUGGCUACAUCCCCGGGAGCCCCAAAGCAUAAGGACCCACGUCUGGGCCAGGUUUUCUGUACGGCGCGUGGGGGCGCUGCCUCCCCCAGACCUGGCAGGUGGGCACUGGGUUGGGUUUAGAACGGGGCUGGCAUGGGGUGCCUGCUGACCAGCACAUGCAGGCGCUGGCUGUGUUUCUGUGUGUGGCACGUGGCUAGAAAGACUGGGAAGGUCAGCUUGUAUUUCAUCUCCGCCGGAGCCGGCCCUCUCUGCCCGGACUUUGGGGAGGGGGCGCACCCGCCUUCCUCCAGGGGGCUUUCUGCCCCGCCCCACCCCCCUCCAGUGCAGCUCUGGGCCCGUCAUGCUUCGGACCGAAUGAACAAAGGGAAGAAAGAAUGGGGCCUUCUCCAUGGAGGCAGGGCCUGACCCCGGGACUCAGAACCAGUAUUCGGAGACAAAGAUGUGGACGUUGACCACGUUGCGGUGGGAGACCACCCCGCCUACCACGUAGUUCAUCUCCAGCUUGAGGGUGGCGUAGAAGGGGCCCACGAUGGGCCGGACCUGGCGCACCACACCUGUGGGGAGAGCGGGACAGCGGGUCAGCGGGUCAGAGGGGCUGACAGCCAGAGCCCACUGGAGGGCUCCCUGGAGGAGACCUGCCUGCCUUCCCCGGCCUGGCCCGACGCCCAGGUAUGGGCAGGAUGCUGGGGAGCUAAGCACAAGAGGGAAGGUCUCUCCUACCCCCGGCCGUCCCCCAGCUUUCCUGGGCUCUAUUAGCCUAAUAGACCAUCACAGGCCCCAAAGCCAGAAGGGGCCUUGUUCAAAUCCUGCCCUCCUGUUGCCUUUUGCCUCCCAACCAAGAGAACCGCAGAGACACGGGCCUCCUGCUGCACUGGGAGGACGUUCCUCCUCUGGAAAUUCCCUUGUUA
rnacentral:lncRNA from 1 species